ensembl:lncRNA
GCCCCUAGCGCCCCGCGGAGUGACCACUCCCUGACACGUCCAGCCCUGGGGAGGACAGGCUUGUGGAGCUCUGGGUGUAGCAGGAGGGGACGGAGAGGGGACUUGGAGGGUGACACCGUGGGGGCGGGCUUAGGGACAGCUGUGCUGUGACUGGUGUGGAUGGAGGAAGCGGAACAGGGACUCGCCCUUGCUGUGGGGGUCUGUCUUCCGUGGCUGCGUGUGCGUGCCACAGACUGCGACACUUUCAGCACAGGCUCGCUUGGCUCCCAGGGCUGGAGGCCGCGAGGUGCAUGAGCACGGCCCGGCACCUUUUGCUGCGUCACAGCGUGGCGGAGGGCGUCACAGGGGACACAGAGUAGCCAGCCCGCUGGCGUCUCCCUCUUGUGACGAAGCCACCCACUCGCGCCUGGAGUCCUGCCCUCAUGAGCUCACCGAGCCCUAACCACACGCAGGGGCACCAAAACCCACGUGCAUACGCACUGGGGGACUAAGGAGGAAGUCUGGGGGAGGCGUUCCCCACCACAGCGUCUGCCCCAGGGGUGCGCAAUGUAGUUGUCGCCCAAGCGCAUGCGCAGAUGCCCCUACUAUGACUAGAGUAAGGACGCCACCCAGAGGGGAGUCAGUGCAGAGCACGCGGGUUCUGUGGGUGAGGCUGGGGUCUUCGGAGCAGAGAUGGGCCAGAGAAGACCGGGAACAGCAUAGCUGUUGACCCAUUUCCUCUGCUCAGCAAGUGGGGGCUGAGGGCCUCGAUGAAGCUGUCCCGCCAACCCUUCCUGUCCAGCGGAAGAAGCCGGGACCGGUGUCCCCACUGUCAGACGGACUCAGCCACAGAAAUCGCUGCUGCGUUUGAGACAGGCGACGAGGGAGAGACAGCAGCCGGUGCAUCUGUCGUUCUGCUCAGGAAAGCAAACCUCUCCUUAUGUGGCUCUCGUCUCGUCGUUGGCCCGAACCGCUGCUGGGUACAAGGCGGGCUGCACGACGUAGCGGAGGCCCGUGGGCGUGAGGACUUCGUGACUGCCCGAGUUAGAAUCGCUCCUGGGGAGCUGUCACUGGGACCACGGUGUGGUCUGUGCAAAGUGGGGUCGGUGGGGCCAGCCGCAAGCUGACCACCCCUGGGAAGUCUCUCUGAGUCUCCUCUCCCGGUGCCCACAAUGCGUUGUCGCUUCUCCCUGCCUGCCUUUCUCUCUCUUCUCCUGUCGUGGGAUCCUGGUGAGGCCCUGGUGUCUGAAGCUGAGUGUUCAGUUCUCCGUCCAGGUGCCCAGAGACCUUAUCGUUACUGAAAAGCUGGCUCUGGGCAUCUCUGUGCCUGAGAGAUUUUGCUAGAAGUUCCCUCAGUGCACCUGAGCAAGAGUACCAAGCUGGGAGAGCCAGGAGUUAUGUGUAUCUACAUAUAUAUGAUUUAUUUAUUAUUUAUUUGAAAGGCAGGGUUAUGGGAGUGGGGGAGAGAAGGAGCGGGGAUCCUCCAUCUGCUGGUUCACUCCCCAAAUGACCGCAACGGCUGGGACUGUGCCAGGCCGAAGCCAGGAGCUUCAUCUGGAGCUUCUUCUGGGUCUCUCACGCAGGUGCAGGGAUCCAAGCACUCGGGCCAUCUUCAACUGCUUUCCCAGGUGCAUUAGCAGGGAGCUGGAUGGGAAGUGGAGCAGCCAGGACUCGAACCAGUGCCCCCAUGAGAUGCUGCAUUACAGGUGGCGGCUUUAGCCUCUGCACCACAGCGCCGGCCCCAAGUGGGUCAGUUUGGAGGCAUGCCUUUGUAUCAGGCUGUCCUCUGGGGCCAAAUACGACACCACUGACUGGGUAAAUUGUGACAAAAGGAGGCUUUGGCUGACAGUGGCGGAGGCCCAAGAUGCGCUCUGCCUGGUGAGGCUGUUCUUGCUGGCAGAGAACGAGGGGACCCUGGCAUCACAGGGACCGUGUGUGCGUGUGUGUGUGCAGGUGUGCGUGUGUGUGUGCGUGCGUGCGUGCGUGUGACGGCCUCGCUCCAGCUUGUUAGAAAGCCCCGGGGAUUCAGCCCCAAGGACUCCAUCCUAAAGACUCUGUCCCCUCCUUCUCCCUCCCCAAGGCCCCGCCUCACGUCGUCACCAGGGGCAGACUCAAUGUGCCCCUCUC